rnacentral:sRNA from 1 species
UGGGGCGGGGCGGGGAAGGACAGCUUAGGGCCCGGAAUUGCGGGCGUCACUCUGCUCCUACGACCUAGCCAGGCGUGAGGGAGUGACAGCAGCGCAUUCGCGGGACGAGAGCGAUGAGUGAGAACGCCGCACCAGGUCUGAUCUCAGAGCUGAAGCUGGCUGUGCCCUGGGGCCACAUCGCAGCCAAAGCCUGGGGCUCCCUGCAGGGCCCUCCAGUUCUCUGCCUGCACGGCUGGCUGGACAAUGCCAACUCCUUCGACAGACUCAUCCCUCUUCUCCCGCAAGACUUUUAUUACGUUGCCAUGGAUUUCGGAGGUCAUGGGCUCUCGUCCCAUUACAGCCCAGGUGUCCCAUAUUACCUCCAGACUUUUGUGAGUGAGAUCCGAAGAGUUGCGGCAGGUGGCGUCGUGGGCGGAAUGUUUUCCUGUACCUUCCCCGAGAUGGUGGAUAAACUUAUCUUGCUGGACACGCCGCUCUUUCUCCUGGAAUCAGAUGAAAUGGAGAACUUGCUGACCUACAAGCGGAGAGCCAUACAGCACGUGCUGCAGGUAGAGGCCUCCCAGGAGCCCUCGCACGCGUUCAGCCUGAAGCAGCUGCUGCAGAGGUUACUGAAGAGCAAUAGCUACUUGAGUGAGGAGUGCGGGGAGCUUCUCCUGCAAAGAGGAACCACGAAGGUGGCCACAGAGAUGGGGUUUCGCCAUGUUGCCCAGGCUGGUCUCGAACUCCUGAACUCAAGCGAUCCUACUGACUCGACCUCCCAAAAUGGUGGGAUUACAGGUCUGGUUCUGAACAGAGACCAGAGGCUCGCCUGGGUAGAGAACAGCAUUGACUUCGUCAGCAGGGAGCUGUGUGCGCAUUCCAUCAGGAAGCUGCAGGCCCAUGUCCUGUUGAUCAAGUGAGUCUGGACCCAUCCCCUUCAGUCACCCCCCAAGGAGACAUGGGCGCCAGGAAUCUCCGGGAGGGGGCCCUGGCAUGAGGCUCCAAGUUCUCUGCGUGUCGACCACAUCGCUGAGGCUCAAGAUCUUUUUUGGGAAGCCCCCCUGGCAGCAGGGUCAUGGAAGGAGGAAGGUCAGAGGAGGGGAGGGCUCAGGCAGCAGGGGAUGGGCCAGGGCUGUCCCAUGCCUUUCCACAGGUGUCAGCGGGGGGCAUGCCCAGGUAAGGCUCCAUAACCAGUGAGCCCAAUCUCACUGCAACCUCUGCCUCCUGGAUUCAAACGAUUCUCCUGCCUCAGCCUCCCGAGUAGCUGGGACUACAGGCGCCAGCCACCAGGCCUGGCUUAUUUUUGUAUUUUUAGUAGAGACAAGGUUUCGCCAUGUUGGCCAGGCUGCUCUCCAUCUCCUGACCUCAUGAU